rnacentral:tRNA from 20 species
UUGGGAUAGCUCAGUUGGUAGAGCAGAGGACUGAAAAUCCUCGUGUCA